rnacentral:rRNA from 1 species
AUUGAACGCUGGCGGCAUGCCCUACACAUGCAAGUCGAACGGCAGCACGGGAGCUUGCUCCUGGUGGCGAGUGGCGAACGGGUGAGUAAUACAUCGGAACGUACCCUGAAGUGGGGGAUAACGUAGCGAAAGUUACGCUAAUACCGCAUAUUCUGUGAGCAGGAAAGAGGGGGAUCGCAAGACCUCUUGCUUUAGGAGCGGCCGAUGUCGGAUUAGCUAGUUGGUGAGGUAAAGGCUCACCAAGGCGACGAUCCGUAGCGGGUCUGAGAGGAUGAUCGCCACACUGGGACUGAGACACGGCCCAGACCCCUACGGGAGGCAGCAGUGGGGAAUUUUGGGACAAUGGGCGCAAGCCUGAUCCAGCCAUGCCGCGUGAGUGAAG